GUGAUAAUCAGUACUCAUUGCUGUGGGAGGCAGGGACCUGGUUUCCAAAGUUUGCAGAAAUGCACUGAAGAAUACGUGAUCACACAGUGGAGAUUCUCUCCCUCCUGAGGUAUGAGCGUGCCAGUCUCAUAAAUCUCACUUUGAGUAUUUAGAGAAAGAUCUUUCAGCUCCAAAGGAAGUGCUGCAACUGCUGAACGUUUAAGCACAGAUGAACUAUAGCCACUCUCAUUCAUCACUCAGCCCAAGAGUGCUGCAUGUGUAUAAAGAUUGGCCUAGAAAGCUGGAGCUGAACAACGACGAUGGGUAUAUGUCCCAAGACUGUUAAUUCCAAGAGUGCUAUGAUGGGGGAAGCAUCUACUUCUCUUAAUUCUGUUAUACUAAGGACCUACAUGAUUUCAGGCCAUCUCCAUAUGCCUCAAGCUUGAUCCUUGUACUCUUCCAUUAUUCAUUUUUUUUCUAUCUUCAGAGUGCCGAAUUAAAAUAUUUUCUUCAAUAAAUUAAAAUAAUUUCUUCAAUCUUGUACUUCAACAUACCUAGUCUAGCUCCAGUAA